rnacentral:rRNA from 1 species
GAUGAACGCUGGCGGUAUGCCUAACACAUGCAAGUCGUACGAGAGUUUUUAACUCUAGUGGCGGACGGGUGAGUAACACGUGAGAAUUUGCCUUUAGGAGGGGGGACAACAAUUGGAAACGAAUGCUAAUACCCCAUAUGCUUUCGAGUGAAAUGGAUUUUAUCCGCCUAGAGAGAAGCUCGCGGCUGAUUAGCUUGUUGGUAAGGUAAGAGCUUACCAAGGCGACGAUCAGUAUCUGGUUUGAGAGGACGAUCAGACACACUGGAACUGAGACACGGUCCAGACUCCUACGGGAGGCAGCAGUGGGGAAUUUUCCGCAAUGGGCGAAAGCCUGACGGAGCAAUACCGCGUGAGGGAAGAAUGCCUAUGGGUUGUAAACCUCUUUUUUCAGGGAGGAAUAAAAUGACGUGUACCUGAAGAAUAAGCAUCGGCUAACUCCGUG